UACGUAGGGGGCAAGCGUUGUCCGGAAUCAUUGGGCGUAAAGAGCGUGUAGGCGGCUCGGUAAGUCCGCUGUGAAAGUCCAGGGCUCAACCCUGGAAUGCCGGUGGAAACUGUCGGGCUAGAGUCCGGAAGAGGCGAGUGGAAUUCCUGGUGUAGCGGUGAAAUGCGCAGAUAUCAGGAGGAACACCAAUGGCGAAGGCAGCUCGCUGGGACGGUACUGACGCUGAGACGCGAAAGCGUGGGGGAGCAAACAGG
rnacentral:rRNA from 1 species